AUGUCACACGAAAGGACUUUGGAGGAAGUUGUGUCCCCCUUUCUCAUGCAGUUAUCGAAAGCACGAGUUCAUUCGUUGACACUGGAAGAUGUACUAAAGCGGGUGUCUAGAUGGGAAAGUGAGAUUAUCAAUGACUUUGGAGGAAUAGCUCGGCAUUUAGAUGACAUCAUAGAAGAAGAUACCCAGCAGCAAUUUGUACAUUCUAAGCUUCAGAUCGUGAACACUGAAAUGUCCAACUUAAAAGACCGCUUGAAAUUUCCUCUCCAUGUUCCUUUGAUCAAGUCAGCAGCUCCUGUGUUGUUAUCAUCAUCUUUACCAUCGAAAUUGCUGUCCGCAAAUGCUUCAGAGCAAUGGAAAAAAUUGGAGAUUGAGAGGAAAAUCCUUGAGAGCUCCACGAUAUCUAGCUUGCAGCUCAGCUAUUAUAAUCUUGACCUUCAGCUGAAGCUGUGCUUGUUAUGCUUCUCUGUAUUCCCAGAAAAUUCCAUUAUUAGCAAGAGGGCCAUGAUCCAUUGGUGGAUUGGUGAAGGGUUAGUAGAAGCCACAAGAAGUCAGACAGCUGAAGAUAUUGGGAAGGAGUGCUUUGAGAAGUUGAUCACUGCAGAGAUGAUUGAACAUGUACGCCAUAAACGUAACUGUAGUGUGAACCAAUGCAAGUUGCAUCCUUGGAUUCGGCGUAUGUUGAUUACCGUUGCAAGGCAAGAACGAUUUUUUGAAUUUGAUUCCGAUGGCAGUGCAACAUGGGGCUUUUCAGGUACUCGCCGUGCUUGUCUAGUUGGAGAACAUAUUCAGGCAACAGAAACGGCAUCACUCAGAAAUCAGUCCAAUCCAGAUUACCUUCUUGCAAUAUUCAAUGUGAGCGAGCAAUACCUCCAGUUCGACAAGAAUUGGUUCUUGGAUUUGAGGAAGAUCGAAGUUCUCCAACUAGGUCGGUGGCAUAACUUGUACCGACACCAUAUUGAGGUUGACAGCACGGAAUAUUUGGAAGGGUUGCAGUCAUGCAAACAAUUGAAAUAUCUUUGUCUGCGGGGUAUCUCCCGUAUCACAGAGCUUCCUGCUUCAAUCGGCGCACUCUCAAAUCUCAGGAUCUUGGAUCUCCAUGCUUGUCAUAACCUUGAGAGGCUUACUGAGAGCAUCACGUCUCUUCAGAUGCUGACCCACCUGGACGUUUCAGAAUGCUACCUUUUGGAGGGCAUGCCAAGGGGCAUUGGUUUGCUUACUGAACUCCAAGUGCUGAAAGGGUUUGUCAUUGGUGGAUCUACAGGCAAGUACAAUUGUCAGGUAGCGGAGCUGAUCAGGCUGGGCAAGCUGAAGAAGCUAAGCAUAUAUAUUGGAAGCAAAGUUCUAGUGACAGAAGACGAACUGCAUGAAGUUGAGAACAUCAAAGCCCUUUGUGUGCUGACAAUUACAUGGGCUGUGUUGCUGUCAAAGAAAGGAGCGGAUGAACAAGAUUCAGCAGCAACGGCAUUGUUAAAUUCGUUAUCCCUUCCUCCCCAUCUUGAGAAGCUAGACUUGCGUUGCUUCCCUGGCGAGAACAUGCCGGUUUGGUUGAGUCCGAGUAGGCUGUUGAGAUUACGCAGGCUCUACUUCACAGGAGGAAUGCUGCGCACUUUUGGAGAGAAGCGCAUGUCUGAGCAGUGGAACAUUGAGAUAUUGCGUUUGAAGUUCUUGAAUGACUUGGUACUAGAAUGGACCCAGGUGAAUGAGAUGUUUCCAAACCUGACCUUCCUGGAGGUAUUCAGAUGUAGCAACAUAGAAUCUUUCCCUUGUGACAAGGAUGGAGUGUGGAUGAACUACGAUACCCAGGAAACCAGAGAGUAG
rnacentral:rRNA from 1 species